UGCAUGUAAACUAAUAAAUA
rnacentral:snRNA from 1 species